rnacentral:rRNA from 1 species
GUGGGGAAUAUUGGACAAUGGGGGGAACCCUGAUCCAGCCAUGCCGCGUGUGUGAAGAAGGCCUUUUGGUUGUAAAGCACUUUAAGCGAGGAGGAGGCUACCGAGAUUAAUACUCUUGGAUAGUGGACGUUACUCGCAGAAUAAGCACCGGCUAACUCUGUGCCAGCAGCCGCGGUAAUACAGAGGGUGCAAGCGUUAAUCGGAUUUACUGGGCGUAAAGCGCGCGUAGGUGGCCAAUUAAGUCAAAUGUGAAAUCCCCGAGCUUAACUUGGGAAUUGCAUUCGAUACUGGUUGGCUAGAGUAUGGGAGAGGAUGGUAGAAUUCCAGGUGUAGCGGUGAAAUGCGUAGAGAUCUGGAGGAAUACCGAUGGCGAAGGCAGCCAUCUGGCCCAAUACUGACACUGAGGUGCGAAAGCAUGGGGAGCAAACAGGAUUAGAAACCCUGGUAGUCC